GUCUAUGGCCAUACCACCCUGAAUGCACCCCAUCUCAUCUGAUCUCAGAAGCUUAGAAGAGUUGGGCCUCGGAUGGAAGAAACUGGAAAGAGGCAGUCACAUGACU
rnacentral:rRNA from 1 species